AAGCAAAACUCUGGGGCAGAUGAUGAAAACUGUCUGACACAUUUUGAACUCAGCAUAGCAGCAAAGUCUAACCUAUUCAGGUGCUCUCUCCUUUACAGAACAAACCCUUAUAUAGACUUACUGU